rnacentral:piRNA from 1 species
UCACCAUUGAAAUGACCACUGGCUUGGAC